UACAGAGGGGGCAAGCGUUAUUCGGAAUUAUUGGACGUAAAGGGCGCGUAAACGGCUUUGCAAGUGGCGGGGGAAAUCCCUCGGCUUAACCGAGGAACUACCUGUCAAACUGCAUGGCUUGAGACCAGGAGAAAUGAAUGGAAUUCCCAGUGUAGCGGUGAAAUGCGUAGAUAUCAGGAGGAAUACCGAUGGCGAAGGCAGGUCUCUGGGCUGACACUGACGCUCAUGCACGAAAGCGUGGGGAGCAAACAGG
rnacentral:rRNA from 1 species